GGCCGUCUAGCUCAGUUGGUUAGAGCGUCGUGCUAAUAUGAUUUGUGAUUCAUACUUCAUUUACGCGAAGGUCUUGGGUUCGACCCCCACGAUGGCCA